UACACAAUUAUAGAUUAUUUGUAGCAUUAUAAGGCCAACAUUACAACACAUGCUAAACUAAUGAGCUUCAGGCGCAAAGUAAAUUCCAACACAAUAAUUCUUAAACCUUCCUCUUCCCAGGCGACUCCAAAUCCUCGCUCAAUGCUCGAAUUAAGCCAUCCUAUAACACCAUAGCCCAACCGGAACACAUAUGCAACGCACAUGGAGAUCGAAUUAUCGCGAAAAUAGAUUUAACUCGUUACUUCCAAAUAAUAUAACUUCAAGUAUUUGGUUCAAACUAUUUGCAAUUUAGUCAUGUAAAGAUAAAGAACAUGCUGAGAAAUACAACUCGCUAGCCUUUAACACAAACAAAGUUGUUGACUUCUCUUACUGUUAGUUCCUAAUUAGAGCAUUUCUAGUGUUCAAAUCAGAUAAACAAUUACUCAAACAAAUUAAAGUACAAGCAUUAUGGAUAACAAGUUAUCUGGAUGUUUUAUCCAUAGACUGAAUAUCUAGAUGAAUUAAAAUUCUAAGGACAUGGUAUCCGUGUUUGAGAACAUCAUGGAAGUAAAUUUAUAGCCAACAAAGCAAACGAAUAUAACUCUUAGCUUCCGACAUACUAUCCACAACUGGACAUGCAGUAUAUUAGGUCAUUUAAUCCUAAACAUGGUGUCUAAGUGGCAAAACAAGUGCACUGAUUUAGGCAAGGUAGUUUUAACCACAUAAGACCGGCAAACAAUCUUAAGGUUUAAGGGAUGAAGUUUUAACAAUUCAAUGUCUCCUUUUAUUAACUAAGAAAUACUCGCUGAAAUGAUACCUAUGCAACCUGAAUUCAGCUAUAUUCACAGAAUGAAGAUCAUGGAACUUACAAAUAUCAUUCGAAGUCUUUUAGGCAGAAUUCCUAAACUAAAUCGUUGAACAUAGCAGAUAAGUUGGUGUUUCUCUUAUUUAUGCAAUCUUUAGUCCUAAAUAAAAGAAAUGAUUUCCUAGUUACCAGGGUUCCAGAACAAAUCCUAAAAACAUUUAUAGUCAGGUCGUCUCAUAUUCAAAAACUCACACGUAAAGUCAAAAGAUCAAAAACACACCUGAAUUUAAGAGACAUACCUGGUUAUUAUAUUGGCAUAAUUUCAAUAGAGUGCCGCACGACACUCGGCAUCUCGGCAUGGCCAAGAGUGUACAAAAUACAAAACUAAAGAGAAUGACUAGUCUAUUCUAACAACAACCAACACGUAAAGGAAUCAUAAUGCGUCGUUCAAGAAACUAACCGGUUCGUGGAGUGCCAAAUUCAUAAGAAAACCAGAAAUCCAAAUAAUGAUUCACGAACAGAGCUUCAACAGCAGUAAAUAGGCCAAAAAAAAAAACUCAAGAAAUAUGCAUUGAUUGCAAUGAGAAAACUCGAAUGAUAGCGACAAGAAAUCAAUACUCAAAUCUCGACGCUCCGAGAUCACCAGAACUUCUAAGAAUUUCUAGCAACACUUGUGUCGAGUGAAAUAAAAGAAAACAAACUUUGCUUUGGCUUGCAAUAAGCAAAGAAUUAGCCGAAGAGCAGUGAAUGCAGUAUAUCACAGUAAAAGAAAAGUUAUGAAAGUGAUGAAGAGCAAUAAUCAAAAGUCCUCCUUUUAGCUCAAAAUUUACAAGUAUUUAUACUUGUAGAAAGUUAUUACUUAAGUAAAUUAGCAGAAUGUAAUUUAAGGCUGCAAAUUAGGAAAGAAUUGAUUUUGACCGUAUCACUUAGAGAAAUUAGAGAUCAAUUAGACCAUUUUUAAUAAAUCUGAUUCAAUACAAGUGCAAAAGAAAAUCCCCGAAAUUAAGUUAUCCCAUAACUAGGGCAAGAAUCUAUGACAUAAAAUAAAAGUUUUCAAAAGGAAAGCGUACAAGAUUGAGAUUUUGAGUCAAAUUGAUAGAAAAGAAAGAGAAAAAUCCGUGAAUAAAUAAUGAAAAGGAGCAAAAGAUUACAACAAAUACUUACCUGUUUUAAUAUCUUGAACUUGAACGGAUUCUUCAAUGAGAUUCUUUCCUCAAAUCUUUGCAAGUUUCUUUCAAAAGGUACUCCUAAAUCACCAUAAUGCAAAGAGGAAGGGAAAAGAAAGCUUUGACUUGAAGAGGAAUGUGUUUAACGGGUAUAAAUUGAAAAAGAAGGAAGAAACAAUAAGUUAAAGACAAAGUAAAAUGAAACAAAUGGGGGAAUGGAAUGGGCGAGGGGGU
rnacentral:lncRNA from 1 species